UACCUAGUGGAACUAGACCAGCAGCUCCUUCUCCGGGCCAGCAGUUCCUGUUGCUGCAACUGAGAACUCAUAGGAAUAAGGAGCGCUGAUCAGUGAAGUUGCACAUCAUUUCAUGAGACUGAUGGUCUCCUCACUGUUCUGGUUCCAUGAUAGUGUAACUCUAUUGACAGACACUGACAAAACCAGAAAUCCUUCCUAAGUAUAAGCUUAGUAUAUAAUGCAUACAUUAAAUAAAAGUUUAAAAGUAAAUGCUAUAUGACACAAAUUUCAUGUACUCUGAUGUAAACUCUUCCUCAAAACAACUAGAUACCUGUAUGGAAGUUCAGGUCAGACAGUAUCAGGUGAUUCAAGGAGGGAAACCAACCCACUUGUUAUUUGUGGAGUAGGUGUCAAGGGUGUUAUAAACGACGCCGACUGGCGAUCCGGCAGCGUUAUUCCCAUGACCCACCGGGCAGCUCCAGGGAAACCCAAGUCUUUGGAUUCCGGGGGGAGUAUGGUUGCAAAGCUGAAACUGGGGUAGGGAGUAACACUGUGAUUUCACCAGAGCUACCACCACCUGUGCCAGACUUGAACCUCUUCCAAAGACGGAAGACUGUACUGUGUGUUAUAACACUGCAGGAAAGGGUGAGGUGGAGACACAGGCAGGAUAAAUGGCAUGGCCAGGUACCUGUGGGUAGCCCGCAUGUGCCUGACCU
rnacentral:ncRNA from 1 species